rnacentral:lncRNA from 1 species
GACAUCUAAAGAUGAUUUGAAUCCUAUGGGACCAUGCCCAGGUUAUGUGCAAAUACUGUGCUGCUUUAUAUUAGGGACUUGAGCACCCACGGAUGUUGGCACUGAUGAGGAGUUCUGGAGCCCAGGAAUGACUGUCUAGUUAAAUGCCUUCAUACAUGAGCAGCGAGGUCUAGCUGCCAUUCCCCAGGAGCAGGCCAAAGAGUAUUUUGAGCAGCGCCUUCGAAGAGACGCUGGAGCCCCAAGGCCAAAGCUGACUCUUUGGCUCGGUCCGAAUGGCGCUGUCAUGCUGAGAGUGGCCACUAGAGGGGGGCCGUGUUCCAGACCCUGGCGGGCAGCCUGCGCGCUGCUCCUUGGAGCUUCUAUAAAGAGCGCCUGCGGGAGCUGCUGCCCUGCACUCAGUCAGAACCUCCCAGGACGCCGCUGCCUCCACGCGAUAUUUCCGGGUCGCUGCCCGCGGCUGACUGGGACGAAGCACCUCGCCGGGGCGUCCCAGGUGCAGACCUCCACGCACCUGGCCACCCGCUAGAGUCUCGCCUCCCAGCCUGGUCCUCCCGCACGGCCCUGGUCUGGUAAAGUCACCGGGCGCCCUGCAGCCCUCCUUUGACUCGGUCUGGACUUGGCUGGCGGUGGGGACAGACUCUGAGGGGCUGCCCGGGUCUCAGCGCGACGGCGGCCGGCUCUCCGACCACCGCAGCGAAUGCUGGAAACUGAGCGCCAGGCUCUGUGGCCUCAGCGGGGGCGUCAGGACCUGAUGGAGAACAAAGCCAUGUACCUGCACACUGUGAGCGACCGCGACACCAGCUCCGUCUUCGAGGAGCCCUUUGAUGGCCGGAGCCUGUCCAAGCUGAACCUGUGUGAGGACGGUUCUGAAGGCUUGCGGAGCUGUUCUGCUGGGAGGCAGGAUGAAGAGCAAAGGCGUACACCACCACAUCUCGGAGUGCAGGACCCUCCCAGGCUCAGGAGGACUUGUCCCACGGCCCUGCUCAUGCUCCUGGAGUGUGGCUUGGUUUGGCAAUGUCCCUGCCUCACGCCUUUCUUCUGCCCUUUCCUGGGGGAAGGUGAGCGGAGAUCCCCAUUAAAGCUGCAAAGUUGAGGCAGCUUCAAAGUCAGAGGUU